GUAAAGUAAGGUUAGAAUUUAGAAUGCGCGGCAGUUCAUAAUUCAAAAAUUCUACUAUGGGUUUCUUAUGGGAGCUUGAUUUUACAGACAAAAUACACCGCACAGGUAGAAAUCUUAACUAGUUCAUGCUACAAGCGAUAAAGACUGUACAAUUAUCUUCCUGUUACUAAAGGUUUAACUAUAUAAAAAGCUUGUGUUAAAAAAAUAUCGCAAAUUAAAAACAACGUUGUUCAUCAAAGUAACGUACAUCGUUUCUAAUGCCUUGCGCAUGAGUGAAACGGAAAAUCCAGAAACACGCCGAACAGAAAAGGAACGCGAAUGUUUUGGAGGGCCAGUGACGUUUAGAUCGUGAAAAUCCCCAAAAUAUGACAGUUGAUUUCGUAUUUUCAUCACAACAAACAAUCAUAAUCACAAUUUUUGGAUGAUAUAUUAGUUCUGUGAUAUUGGUUCACAUUAGGUUGUAUAUGUCUGUGGACUGGUUUUAUUGUAUUUGUUAUUAAUAGUGACAGAAAGACAUGCGUUAACAAUAGGGGCAAUUACCAGUUUUUUUUUUGUUGACGAUCGGAAAUGCAUUGUGAACGGAUAAAAUUCUUUGCAGUCAAAUAAUGCAGUGAAAGUCACUUGGUAUACUGAAUUAAAUGUGCUUGAAGAGUUUAUUCGAGCUAGAAUGCGAAAUAGCCAAUGAUAUUCCUUAAGAGAGGCAACAAGUGAAACCACAAGAGGUGCAUUUGUAUGUCACCAUAUGGCUACACCUGCCCUACACGGGCGUUAUAAUUUAUUUUGGACCAAUAAUUUGCGUUCUUGGAACGUACAUCUGAAGAAAAGUGAAUCAGCCGAGGUCAGAGCUGUGAUCUCCGAAAAUUCUUUUAAUCCCCAAGUCAACCUAAAAACAGCUAAUGUUGAGGUACAACUUUAUGAAAGCUUACGACAAACUGAUGGGAGCGAAGCACUGCUUUGGCUAUUGGGCCCUGAACCAGAAAGAUCUGAAGAAAAUCUACUUCACAGUGUCGAAGAACUAUUAGUGUCCGAGGACUAUUUAAAUGGCCCAUCAAUAUAACAGUUUGUGGGUCAGUUUUUCACCAAAAGUGAAUCAGAUUUUGCAUUAGGCGGUGCAAUUUUUUAUUGUAGAAUAUAUUUUUUUUGUUUUGAAAUAAAUUGGUCUUUAAAUUGU